rnacentral:lncRNA from 1 species
CCCAUUACACUGUUUCAAAACCGAGUCAUACUAGUACUCAGAUUGCAGACAAGGAUGCUCAUAUUCCAAACAAAAUUCUCCUCUCACCAUGCCUCCAUUUUAAAUUCUCAACAACCAUGAAGCAACCCCUUUUGCACUGUCCAAUGAGAUUUUAUCAAUUGCCCGGCAACGAGGCUACCAGUAGAUCACCUGGUCUAGUUUCUUUCUCACCCGUCUUCUAAAGUAUUUCCUCAUGUUCAGAUGUGUCUCCAGGUAAUGGCUUACUCUAACCUCUUGCCAAUUUCUAUAGCAAGAAGGCUUGCCAAUUGGUUCAAUCAAGAGUAUUCUCACCAGGUAUGCUGCAAGCAGCUGCUGCUCUGUUAAUAAUGGUUAACAAACUCAAGGACAUCCAUUUUACUAACUCUGCAAAGCUGUUGUAACAACCCAGGAUCUCACCCAAAAUGGCUAGCCGGAAGUUAUUAUUUGAAUUCCUUGAUCCUGUAUAAGAACCUGUAUCAAAUAAUCCAUUCGGAAGGAAUAAACCCUUGAACCCAUACCGUGUUAUGAUCCAGAUAAAAAAGGUCACUCUCU